rnacentral:rRNA from 1 species
AUUGAACGCUGGCGGCAUGCCUUACACAUGCAAGUCGAACGGCAGCACGGGUGCUUGCCCCUGGUGGCGAGUGGCGAACGGAUGAGUAAUACAUCGGAACAUGUCCUGUAGUGGGGGAUAGCCCGGCGAAAGCCGGAUUAAUACCGCAUACGAUCCACGGAUGAAAGCGGGGGACCUUCGGGCCUCGCGCUAUAGGGUUGGCCGAUGGCUGAUUAGCUAGUUGGUGGGGUAAAGGCCUACCAAGGCGACGAUCAGUAGCUGGUCUGAGAGGACGACCAGCCACACUGGGACUGAGACACGGCCCAGGCUCCUACGGGAGGCAGCAGUGGGGAAUUUUGGACAAUGGGCGAAAGCCUGAUCCAGCAAUGCCGCGUGUGUGAAGAAGGCCUUCGGGUUGUAAAGCACUUUUGUCCGGAAAGAAAUCCUUGACUCUAAUACAGUCGGGGGAUGACGGUACCGGAAGAAUAAGCACCGGCUAACUACGUG